AGUGAACGCUGGCGGUAGGCCUAACACAUGCAAGUCGAACGGCAGCACAGUAAGAGCUUGCUCUUACGGGUGGCGAGUGGCGGACGGGUGAGGAAUACAUCGGAAUCUACUUUUUCGUGGGGGAUAACGUAGGGAAACUUACGCUAAUACCGCAUACGACCUACGGGUGAAAGCAGGGGAUCUUCGGACCUUGCGCGAUUGAAUGAGCCGAUGUCGGAUUAGCUAGUUGGCGGGGUAAAGGCCCACCAAGGCGACGAUCCGUAGCUGGUCUGAGAGGAUGAUCAGCCACACUGGAACUGAGACACGGUCCAGACUCCUACGGGAGGCAGCAGUGGGGAAUAUUGGACAAUGGGCGGAAGCCUGGUCCAGCCAUACCGCGUGGGUGAAGAAGGCCUUCGGGUUGUAAAGCCCUUUUGUAGGGAAAGAAAAGCAGCAGGUUAAUACCCCGCUGUUCUGACGGUACCCAAAGAAUAAGCACCGGCUAACUUCGUG
rnacentral:rRNA from 1 species